AAGCUGUUGUGCUUUAACUCAUUUCUUUUCUUUGGUAUUGGGUUAUGUAUGCGUAUGCGUUUUUUUAACUUGAGAGCUGACUGUUGCUUAAGAAGUUUUCUUAUGGCAAAAAUAAUGUAAAUAACUUACUAUGAUCUGCAUUUUGCCAGAAACUCAUUUAUAAUUAAGGCUAUCAUUUAUUAAUGAUUUUUUUCUCCUUUAUGAUAUUACAUUAAAGUUGAUAACUGUUAUUGGUACUUUUGAAAUAUUUGUAUGCAUUUGUUACCUUUAAACAUUUGGAAGAAGCACAAAAAAAUAGAUUUAGUUAACCCAGGGAAACAUCAAUUUUUUUAGUAGUUCCAAUUUUAUAUCACAGUUUUAUUUUCUUAUGAAAUCAAAAAAUGCAUUGAUACUCACUAAUGCAAAUUCAUUAUUUAACAUCAAUAUCAGAGUAAUCUUCAAGGUCUGAAAUGAGAAACAUACUGACUUUUUAAAAUUUUAACCGUGUACUUCUUAGGCUUUCAUUACCAGCUCUAAAGAACUUUUUGGAAUAAUUCCGUAUUCCAUAGUGUGUGGUUUAUGAGUUGUGGGUUUCAUCACUAACCCAGUAACCAUAAGAAAAGUCUCUCUCUCUCUCUUUCUCUUUCUCUCUCUCUCUCUUUCGUAGGCCAGUAGCAAUGUUGCGUUCACAGUCUAAUUUCCAAAAGACCAUCAAUAAAAAAGAGAGCAUGUUUAAAUUGAAAUGGAACUUAGAAAACUUGAACUUACUUACGUACUUCAAUGCCACUGGUAACUUAGGUUUUACCACCAAAUGCUGUUAACAUUAAAUCAUUUUGAAAAUCUUGGAUGAAAGGUGCUAUGUAAAUGGAAAUAUAAAGGAUUCUUACUAACAUACAAAUAAUGCACAACAGAAAUAUCUAAAACCUUUUCCGUAGACUUUGAAACAUCUCUCUCUGUCAUAACUCCCUGGAUUCAAGUAGCACAUUGGUAAUAGGUAUCAGAGCAGUCUAGAGACAAUUGCAUGUCAAAAAAUGUACAUUCAUUUUUAGGUGGAUAAAAGUAAACAUAGAAAUUAUGUUAUGGCUAAAUACAGUUAGUGGGUAACUUAGAUUUAUAUUAGCUAGCAUCUAAUUUGCACAACUAGAACACAUCCCAGAACAAUUACUGAAAAGCUGAAAUUUAAUGAGUGGUGAGGUAGCCCAAUGAGGGCAAAUGACAUCACAGCUUGACCUCUACAGAACACUAAUAUCCUAAAAUACAGAACAUGCUGGGUUAAGUGCAUUAGUGCUUCAAGCAGAAAAUGCUAAAAACAACAUGUAAAGUACUGAAUCUGAGUAGGCUGACCCUGAGAAGGGACAAUUAAAGAGACAACCAAGGGAACACAUUGAGACUACAAAAAUAUGAAUAAUCUCAAUUAUAUUCAUCACACUUUUUUCAUACCAUUUCAAGAAACGACUAGACAGUAGUAACCACAUGAAUAUUUUACUUUCUCCAGUAUACCUUGAGAAGCAAACUUUGUAGGAAGCCACUCUUCUCCCCUAAACAACUUCUGCCAAACAAUAAUAAAGCCAACUGGAAACUAAUCGGAGCCAUUUUCAUUUUCCUAACCGGGGCCUGACAUGCUUUAAAUUAUCUGGCUCUAUUCUAAAUCAACACCUAACCCCUCAAGGAAACUGAAGAAUCAAUAUACAGGGUAAUAGCUUUGGCUCAGAGCUCCAAUAAUGUGCUUCAGAUCUGUCCAUGUGGAAAUGCUUUCAUCCAAAUUUUUAAAUUGGUGGUUACCAAAGAGUUCACAAAACAGGUUUGUAUGUAGCACCUUUCAUGCAAGGCAUGCAAAAAGCCUAUUUUAAAAUCACUGUGCAUAUUAUAGAGUUGUAGCCACCUCACAAUGAAGUACUACAGCCUGUGCUGUCUUAAUGGUUUAUGUCAGGAAAUGAAAAAGAUACUGUACCAAAUCUGGAAUUACAAUGGGGAGUAAUAAUGUAUACUAAAUGACUUUUGUAUUUUAAGUUACUUUUUGUGAGUGGUGAAUUUUUGUGUUUUUCUUUUCAGCUUCACUUAGUCCUGAGAUGUAUUUUUGCUUUAAGUCUUGAAUGAAUACAAAAGGAGCCCAUUUUAUAAUAUAAACCUUGAUGUACAUGUUGAGAUAUUUGGACAAUGAAAAUGCCUUAAAAGGAAUGCAUAUGGAUAAAGUUGCACUUAUAACACCCUUCAACAAAAUCUGAUUUUACAUUGUCUUUUUCUUUUCUAUUAAGGGUUUUCUUUUUCAGUGUCUAC
ensembl:lncRNA